UUUGAUUCAAAUUAUGUGUGGCACUGACCGUAAUGCCCCUCUUUUGGAUUCAGUGUGAGGACACAAGCAGCUGGUGGUUAAGCUGGUUUGUACCAGCUGAGAGUCUGAGCUCCCAUGGUGUCUCACUCCGUGAAGAUCAUGGAGCUCAUUGCCAGAGCCAUUGUCGAGCCGUAGUUCAUCAGCUAGGGGCAGAGGAGAUGUAAUUGGAUGUACUGGUGCUGCUGCAUCUUAAGAUGGAAGUACUCAUGCCUGAUGGAAGAUAAGAGCAAGCAUGCUGUCAAGCCAAGAACAGCACAUCCUCAUCUACAUCCAUUUGAAUUUGAACGUCUGUAGUGUGAUCCUUCCUAAGAAUCCUAACCCUUCUUAUGGUCUGAUUGGAUUAAAAAAAUCAUAUGUUCAUGCCUGAUGCAAGUGAAGGUCAGCAUAGGCAUGUUGUUUGGUCACUAGUAUUCCAAUCAAUCACUAGCUAGAUUCUUGAUUCAAGAUAUGUAAAUUCUUUUAUGUGUACUGUGCCUUAUGUUUUCUGGAUGCUAAUCCUUUUUUUAUUCAUAUAGUUACCUAGUUAGUUGUUUGAUUUGUGGUUUUUCUUGCAAGUCCAAAUCGUAAAAUUUGGCGCCA